rnacentral:rRNA from 1 species
UACGGAGGGUGCAAGCGUUAUCCGGAUUCACUGGGUUAAAGGGUGCGUAGGUGGGCAAGUAAGUCAGUGGUGAAAUCUCCGGGCUUAACCCGGAAACUGCCAUUGAUACUAUUUGUCUUGAAUACUGUGGAGGUCAGCGGAAUAUGUCAUGUAGGCGGUGAAAUGCUUAGAUAUGACAUAGAACACCAAUUGCGAAGGCAGCUGGCUACACAAAUAUUGACACUGAGGCACGAAAGCGUGGGGAUCAAACAGG